AUGUUCACCCAUCUUCAUUUCUCUGAUUCAGGAGCAGACUGUUGCCAUGUUACAAGGACAUCGGGAUCGCAAACAUUAGGCAACAAGGAGCUUCUGCUUUUUUGCAGAAGCAGAAUGGACUUUGUCCACACAUGCCACAAUCUACAGAUGCUGUUGCCCCUGCCUUGGCAUGAGAGCCAGCUGGGAUGUUCCCUGGUCCUCCGUGCUCUCAGGGUUUCAGGAUUGACAUCGCCUCCCACAUGGGAAGAUUCCUGA
rnacentral:lncRNA from 12 species